CUUUCACCUAAUUUCACAUAGAUCGUACUUGAACCCAAUGCUUCUGAUUCCAAAACCCCUAUUUUUCUACUGUGCUUUUCAAGGGGCAACAAUAAAAGGCUGUCCUUUGAAGCCUGCUUUCCUGAUUAGUGAGUUCCUGGUCUGAUAUACAUUUUCUGAAAGGACCUACACAUGCUGUGCUCAUUUCAUUCAUUCCCUGGACUUGGAUUCACUUCACUACCAAUUGCCAAGUGCUCUCUUCCUCCCCCCAUACUCCUCAUAAGCUUGUGGAAAGUAGCCUGACAGACCGAGAAGAUGAAGUUUGCUGUAAAUGUAAGCAGACAUUGUCCAAACUUUCUUCCUGAAGUUGCCCACUUUAAUGACAGUCACAAUGUCUUAUCUUCAAAAACCCAUUGUGAGAACCUCGCUGACUUUAAACACAAAAUUCCUUUGCAGUAUUGAAAAUAGGAUUUUUUAUUUAACAAUAGAUAUAUUAUAAACCUUUUGAGGAAUACCUGUUACAAAAAGUGGGAUAUAUUUGCAUAUUAUAAAUUUAAAAUGCUAUUCAACUUCUUUACAACAACAUAAUAGAUAAACUUCGAUUCCACAUUCCAGAUCUUUCUCUGCUUCCCUUAUUUCAAUUUGGUAUCAUACACCUGGUUUUCUUGAUCUAUUUCUGGGGUUAUGAUAUAUUCCUGUCCAAAGUUAACUCUUUUAAUGGACUAAAGUUCAUUAAUCUUCUAAUCUAGCAAAACUCCUUCCUCCUACCAAUCUCUAGUGAUAAGAACAGAAGGAAAAAUGUACUUUAGAGUGAGUCAACCAUCUUUAGAUAUUUCACUAGCCGUUUAUAAAAGUAUAGCAUAGUAGUCUGAAAGACACCCUUCAACAUAAAAGGGAAUCUCAUUCCCUUGGAUGGAAAGGACCAUGAGAAAAAGACCAUGCCAGUGAAUUUGGUGGGUGCCUUCUUCCUGGCUGCCUCCACCUGCAUUCUAGUGUCCCAUUCUGUCAGAAACUUAAGCCCUUACUCCUGUAACUCCGGACUUUGAUUUAUGAGUAUUUCACCACAUCUUGCCUAGUUGCACGACCACCACUGUCACUUCCUGACCCUCUCUGUAUCUUGCUACUUAACAUUUCUGUCUCACCCCAUACCUCUACCCUUUCCAGCUCUAAUUCUAAGAAGAUUGUUCUUGUCAAGAUUUUAAGUUUUUUCUUCAUACUUUUUCUAUAACUUGCAUUUAUAUAUUGUCACAAAGUGCUUUAUAUGUAUUAAAUAAAUUUGAUAAUCACAAUAGCUUUAGGAGGUUGGAUCAUAGAUAGCAAAUCAGCACCUACCAUCCCUACCAAGUACAGGUCAGUCAAUUGUCCUAUGUCUCCAGUUACCAUUCUAUAAGACUCCCUUGUCCAUUACUGCCCUUAAAAACCUUCUGGGCUCCUGUUAGAGUGUUAAGAUCCUCGAGGGCAGGAAAUGCCUCCGUUCCCUUGCCAAUGCAUUGCCAGCACUUACAUAGUAACUAGCAUAUAAUAAAUGUUUAAUAAUUCUUUUGGGAAAAAAAGUUCUUUAUCAACUUCAAAGGUAUUAAUUAUGAAAGAAGGUAGAGUAUGAAUUUACUAUAGAAGGAGGUAGCAUUUAGCUUUUAAAGGCUGUGUAGGAAUUCAGUGGGCAUGUUAGGGGAGGGGAAAAGAGAUAAUUCAGAGCAUAGUCAAUAGUGUGGUUAAAAAAAAGGGUAGAAAUAGAACAGAGUAGAUAGACUAGAGAAUAGUUAGUAUUCAAGUUUAAUUAGAACAGGGCUUCUUAAGAUUCGGUCUGUAAAUUUGCUCUUUUAAAAAUAUUUUUUAUUUUUAAUUUAUGGGGUAAAAUUAGAAUUUCCAUAACAUAGUAUAAUAAAAAAAAUGAUUGAACAUAAAAACUGCAAAGCUGGCUAUUUCUUUUAAAUAUACAACAAAAUUAUCAUGUAUAUAUUUUUCCUCUUCCCUCCAGAGAUAGCCAUCUUUAGACACAAAUAAGUUUGUGUAUAUAAUAUAUGUAAAAUUAUUCACAUAUACUUCUAUUUAUCAGAUCUUUCUCUGGACGCAGAUAGCAUCUUUGAGUACUUAUAAUAAUCAAAAUGACUUAUUUACUCAGUCAUUCUUAAAACAAUAUUGCUGUUAUUAAAUAAAAUGUUCUGAUUCUGCUCAUUUCACUCUUCACUAUCCAUGUUAUUCUAAGAUUCAUUGAACUCAUCAUUUCUUAUAGGACCAUAGUAUUCCAAUACAGCCAUAUACUACUACUUGUUUAGCCAUUUCCUUUCAUGAUAUUUUGAUAACUGUUUCAGUAAAAUUGGCUUCCUUUUGUAACCCUAUAUACUUUAUGCUUUUAAAAACAUUUUGAGAAGGAGUUGAUAGUCUUGCCAAAUUGCCCUCUUGAUAGUACAAUACACAGAAAAAGUUUAGAACCUCUGGACUAGAGCAGAGUAUGUGAAAAUAAUAAUAAUAAAAGAAUAAAAGAAGGAGUCUGAGCUUUCCUUGGUGGGCAUUGGGUAAUUACUGACAGAGUUUGUAUAGGAGAGUGAUAUAAGCCAGAGCUUUUUUGACUCAUGACCCCUUUUCAUCCAAGAAAUUUUUACACGACCCCAGAUAUAUAGAUAUUAUAAAACAUACAAAUCAAACAUUUAAUUAUAAUAAAUCAUAAUUUCAUGACCAUCACA